rnacentral:rRNA from 1 species
UACGGGGGGAGCAAGCGUUGUUCGGAUUUACUGGGCGUAAAGGGCGCGUAGGCGGCGCAACAAGUCACUUGUGAAAUCUCCGGGCUUAACCCGGAGCGGCCAAGUGAUACCGUCGUGCUAGAGUGCGGAAGGGGCUACUGGAAUUCUCGGUGUAGCGGUGAAAUGCGUAGAUAUCGAGAGGAACACCUGCGGCGAAGGCGGGUAGCUGGGCCGACACUGACGCUGAGGAGCGAAAGCGUGGGGAGCGAACAGG